rnacentral:rRNA from 1 species
UCGAGGAUCUUCGGCAAUGGGCGCAAGCCUGACCGAGCGACGCCGCGUGUGCGAUGAAGGCCUUCGGGUUGUAAAGCACUGUCGGGGGGGAGAAAGGUCCGCAAGGGCUUGAUCGACCCCCGGAGGAAGCACGGGCUAAGUUCGUGCCAGCAGCCGCGGUAAGACGAACCGUGCGAACGUUAUUCGGAAUCACUGGGCUUAAAGGGCGCGUAGGCGGACCGCCAAGUCAGGGGUGAAAGCCUCCGGCUCAACCGGAGAAGAGCCUUUGAUACUGGCGGCCUAGAGGGAGGUAGGGGCCUGCGGAACUUCCGGUGGAGCGGUGAAAUGCGUAGAUAUCGGAAGGAACGCCGGGGGCGAAAGCGGCGGGCUGGACCUCUACUGACGCUGAGGCGCGAAAGCCAGGGGAGCAAACGG